rnacentral:lncRNA from 1 species
CGGCCGCCUCACUUUGUGGCCGCCCGUAGGGCCUGGCGACGAGGCUCCGGCCCCCAAGUCGCAGGAGGACGUCGGGCCCUGUGCUGGACCCUCCGGGAACUCGCUGCCCGGGCUUCGCCUGGAAAACGCCACCCCCAAAAGAGUUCUGUUUUCUUUGGCUGUAAUAAGUUGACGCCUCCUUCGGACUGGGGGAAGAUGGUGGCCUGAAGAGCCUCCUUUGGCCUGAAACUCUUCGCUGCCGCCUCGGGAAGGGAGGAGAGCUGGCCUCGCGCGGUCGCAUCACAGGUGGCUCAGUGGCCGAGCCUUGGAACAGGUCACAGACGUGCAGGGUGCGGCGAACCGGGUUUUCCUGCGAGGCCAGACUCGCGGCCCCGGGUGCUGGGCCUUCCUGGGGAGGCAGAGGCCG